rnacentral:rRNA from 1 species
CCGGAGUGGACGAACCUCUGGUGUUCCGGUUGUCACGCCAGUGGCAUUGCCGGGUAGCUAUGUUCGGAAGAGAUAACCGCUGAAAGCAUCUAAGCGGGAAACUUGCCUCAAGAUGAGAUCUCACUGGAGCCUUGAGCUUCCUGAAGGGCCGUCGAAGACUACGACGUUGAUAGGUCGGGUGUGUAAGCGCUGUGAGGCGUUGAGCUAACCGAUACUAAUUGCCCGUGAGGCUUGACCAUAUAACACCCAAACA